CCCACGGCCAGCUCCCAAGUGAGAAAUGUAGCUGAGGCUGCAAAACGUCGAGAAUGGUCUCUGAGAAGAUAAACAAGUGGAGAGCCAGAAGGGAAUGUCACCACACUUGUGCCUGGCCCAGGAACACAUGCUGUGCUGUUUCAAAAUCUAUGCCUGCAAAUAAGUUUGUGCUGAAGAGGAGAUUGGUACAGACAGGGACAGCCCCCAGGAAUGAGCCACAUGAAGAAGAUGCCACGUGGAAACAAAGGGAGGAAGUGCCCCCUGCGAGCCCAGGAGAGAGGCCUCAAGAGAAACCAAGCCCGCCCGCACCCUGGUCUCGGACUCUCAGCCUCCGGAACAGGAACUUGAGCUUGAUGAAAGCCUCCCUAGAUGUUCCCAGAGAUGAGGUUCUCCUCACCUCACCUCCUAGUGGAUUAACCAUCCUUGAAGGCAAGAGUGAGAAAGAGAAGACCCUUCUCCAUUUUAUAUUGGGCUAAGAGCAAGCUGUAGAAGGGAGGGUGCCUCUGAAUGGUAGCCAAGUCUGUUGUCAAAAUCACUCUUCACCGUCUGCAGCCCACAACAGGACUCUGAAGUUUCAUCACAGUUUUAGUACAACACAAAACCACUUUGAUUCUUCCUCCUUUUCUCUUAGAAAGGCUGAGGCUGUGUUUUUGGUGGUUCCUGCCUUGAGCUAGGGAGACAGAGCCAAAAAGGAUUUGGUGUCAGACUAGCAUGGGCUCAGCUCCUGGUCCCUACACACAGUAGCUGACGGACCUUGGGAAAACUACCUAACCUCUCUAAGCCCUAGUGCCCUCAACUGAAAUGGAGUACCAGUGCCACCCACACCAUAGGUAAUGUAGUGAUUGACCUUGUAGUGAUUGACCACAUGUGACACGAAGGUCUAUCCUUUUCCUCUGGAUGAAAAGCCACAUGACCUCAGUUUGGAUCAGGCAUACCAGCCCAGGCAAGAUUGGAGCAGGGGAGUCCAGGACAGAGCCCCACAUCACUGGGCAAGAAGACAGAACAGUCAUUUCCUCUCCAACUUCAUCACCACUAUCCUCAUAAUUGCACUGGUGUGGGCAGAUUGGGCCUCUCUUCUCUAUUUGCAGCAAAGCUUCAAAGCUGCAGGCUGGCAUCAGGCCAUCAGAGUCACUCAAACCACAAUGAUGACAUUUCCUGGAGUUCAGCAUCCAGCCUUCUUCCCCCUCUCCCCUCAUCGUGCCUGGUCCUGUCACCAAAACGAAGAAAGAUGGGAAAGAAGAAUAUUGUUUCCUUUACCCUUCAAAGUUCCCUGGGCCUCCCAGGAAUAGAAUAUAUUCCCCAACUUUCCCCAAAUCUCUAUGUCCCAACACUUCCAGGCAGUUAUAAGCCAUGGGCAUCCGGGCAGACCCAGAAGAACAUAUGUCUUUUUCUCUAAAAGCCCUUGUGGAAAGUCCCCACUAUUCUGUGGGAGGAGGAACAGUGUCUGCUUUGUUCAUUGUCUAUUUCCACUGCCUAGUACAGUGCCCGGUCCAGGAUCAACAAUAGUGUUUCUUUAAUGAAUAAACAGGCCAAUGAGUGAAGCUUUCCAAGUGAUAUAUUCAAAUGCUAAACACUUGGUCUCUAUGUCCAUGUGCUUCCAUUUGUCGCUAAAGAAGUUUCCCCUAUUUGUUUUUGUAUCUUUAUUCCUUGGGAGCAAGAAAUCAAAACAACGAAAUGACUUUUUGCUGGAUCACGAAGCAUGAAAGUAAAAGCGUCAGAGCUUGGCAAGUCUGUGAGGCCGAUGACAGCUUUGAUGUGUUGACUUCUCUUCCAGGGUCUUCGUCACAAUCUCCGUGUCCCUUCCCACCUCUCCAUUUCAUUGACAUCCAACUACCUUUGCCCUGAUCUCCGGGACUCAGCUGAUCUCCGGGACUCAGCUGUGAAUUCAGCUGCCUAAUGUAUAGUUCAUGAAGACUGAACUCUUUUUAGAUUAUCUGAUGUUGGUAGAAGAUUCUGGAACUCAAAGGAAUAACAUCAAAUGUGAAAACUUCCAAAGGGUGGGAGAGGGUGAUUUAGAAGGACUUAAUUGUCCCACCUCAAAUUUUUCCAAAUAGGCCUUUAUGUAUUCUGGCCAUUCAUAAGGUCAGCUCUCCUCAUUGUUCACUCUGAUGGACCAAAUUGGAUCAGGACCCAGAGUUGCAAGUGGGAGGGCCAGAGAAAGAGAGAGAGAAUCUCAAGCAGACUCCAUGCUGAGCAUGGUGCCCGAUGUGGGGCUUGAUCUCAAGACCCUGAGAUCAUGACCUGAUUCAAAACCAAGGGUCAGAUGCCCAGCUGACGGUGCCACCCAGGCACCCCACAAGAUCAUCUUGAAUGAGUAACUACCAUCCCUGCGUCCAGCCAUCCAUUCAUCCAUCUAUCUCAUCCAUUCAUUCGUUCAUUCACUGAAGACCAGUGGUGAGAAAGACAGGGACACAUCAGUUCUCUAGCAACUUACAGAUUCGGGGAGAAAGCGAUAGUAACCAUAUAAUCAGCAACAGAAAGAAGCACCUUGGAUAAAAGGAGUCAGGCUUGGGGAGUUUAUACAGAGGAAACAAGGAGGCAGGAGGGUGGGGAGGCAGGGAGCAAUCUAGAGGUCCUUUCCAGAGGAAGGAGGAAUGGGAGUCAAAGGUGGAUGGAAGGAAGGUCCAAUGGGAGAAAGCUUUUUGAAGGUAUCUAGAGCAGGCUGGAGAGGCUGGCGUUCAAACCUCCAGGUAGACAAUUAGCUGGAAAGGCAAAAGCUAGACCAUUCAAGCUCUUUGGGACAAUAUUUAAGAUUGUAUUCUUUAUCUUAAGUUCAACAGGAAAUUGUUGAAUAGUUUUAAGUGGGUGAAGAGCAGGGGCAUUAUCCUGCAAUGAAGUGUUUUUCAAAUAUAUUCAUGUUUUUCUGUGCUUUUCUUCUUUUGCAUUUCUAAACCAGCUCAUCUAUUCCUGGGGAGAAUUAAGAGUGCUUUCCUGGAUAGUAAAAGUAAAGACAAAGAUUGUGUCAAGGUUCAACCACUGACUUUCACUUCAGAGAUAAUAGUUGUAAAAGCCAAAGCUUUGAUUUGUACAAGCAGAGCUCUUAGUGAAUAAAAAAGCAACGUCCUGAAGAGAUCAGGGGACUGAAGUUCACUUAAAUGAGUAGAUAAUAAACUGGACUCUCCCGUGGGAGGAGGGAAGUGAUGAGAAGCAAGAGUGCUGAGGUCAAAGGCAUUUCCUGGCCAGCAGCAACCACAUAGAGGGCAGCAUCAGCAUGGAGACACUGCCACACCUCUGUCCCAGCAAGCAUCAGAGAGCCAGGUGGGGACCUAGCAACACCUGAAGACUGUACCUGUUGGAGAGCCGUGCUGUCUGAAGGUGGCCUGGCCUGAGCUGUCUUUCUCACUGUCUGCACUUCACCCAUCAGUUGCCCAGCAGGAGUGAUAAUCACCUUUCAACUCACACAAACUAUCCCCCGAGCUCACAACACACAGAGUUCCCUUUCCCAGAGCAGUAAAAUAGCAACCAGGAUAUAGUCAAAUGGGGCACAGUGACAGACACUGUGGAUGGGAAAGCCCCCUCAUUAUCUGUACAGGGGUGAGAGUAACAGAAUCACUCAGAUCAAGAUAGUGGCGAACCCUAGCCCUGUUAUAAAUGAGAUUGGUUAUUUUCAAAGGUUAAUCUGGCUGCUGGAUGGGGAGCUGAAUGUCAAGGGGCCAGAGCUGAAGGUUUGUGUGACCAGACCAGAGCUUAUUGCAGUGGUGCACACAAAAAGUGGCCAUAGCUUGGGCUAAGAUGGUGACACUGGGACUGGAGGGAAGUGAUUGGAUUCCAGAGAUGUAACUGAAGGAGCAGAUAAGGAUGUACAAGGUAACUGCAUUAAUUAGGUUUCUGCCACAAUGGAACAACAGUUACAAUGGUUUCCACUGUAAUGUUGAAUAACAACCCCCAAUUCUCAGUAGCUUAGAGUAACCCUUUAUUUUUUCCUUGUUAGAAGUCUCUAGAUAGGUUAGGCAUUUCUGCCUCCAGUCACAGUUGGUCCAUAUGUCUCUUUUUUUAGGACUAAUAGUUAUAUGGGGGCAAGCUUUUCCAUGGCAGACAGCAGAAGGGCAAGAGCCAAGUGAAAACAGGCAAGUAUAUUUCAAGCCUCUAGCUGGACAAGGCCCAGAAAUUGUCUACUCGUAUACCAUUGGCCAAAGGAUACCAAUUGACAAAGCCCAAAGACAGUGGGGGCAGGUAAUUAAACUGCCACAAAGAAGCCAUGGCAAGGAUGAAUUGUGAACCAGCUAUCUAUCUAUCUUAAGAAUCCAGGAUGGCUCCUAGGUUUCUCGCUUGCCCAGCUAGAUAUAGCGUGGUGCCCCUCCCUGAGAAAGGAAACACAAAAAAUAGAACAGGCCUGGGGGAGACCAUGUGCUCAGUCUUGGAUAUUUGGUUUGAGAUGUCUUUGCAUACCAAAGUGGCAGGAGCUGUAGAGAAGGCUGACCUGGGAGUAUAUAUACAUUUGGGAGAUGAUAGCAAAGACUACCAUUCACGCAUCCCUUCUUUGUCAGUAUUAGAACAUCUCAUUUCUGCCUGGCCACCAUAUAUUCCAAACCUUUCUGGAGCUGGGGUAGUCGCCUGGCUAAAUAUUAACCAAUGAAAUAUAGAAAGUGUCAAGCAUGACGUCCAUAAAGAAUCCUAACUGGAAAGACACAUUUAUGUCUCCCUGCCGGCAGACAUGUGGUUGUGGUGGCUUAAACCCAAGGCUCCAUCUUGGAGUAUGAGGUAAAGGUCCGAUGUUGAGAAUGGCAGAACAACAAGACAGGAGACAAGUCCCUAAAAAGAAAUGCAUUUUUAUAAUAUUUUGAAUUACUGUCAACUCUGGUCAAACCCCGUCCUAACAGUCACGAGAGUCAUGGGAGCAAGGAAAUGCUGGAAGCCACUGAAUAUAAUAUCAAGUUUCCAAGAAAAGAGUAUGGAAUGAGAAGUGAGGAAAGCCUAGGAUGGGGCUUCUGGCAGCUCCAGCGUGUCACUGCCAUGUAGAGAUGGGGACCAUCUAUGACAGAAAGACACAGGCUGAGGGACGCCUGGGUGGCUCAGUGUGAGCAUCUGCCUCCAGCUUGAGGUAUGAUUCCAGGGUCCUGGGUUCAAGUCCCACAUCGGGCUCCCUGCAUGGAGCCUGCUUCUCCCUCUGCCUGUGUCUCUGCCUCUCUCUCUGUCUCUCAUGAAUGAAUAAAUAAAAUCUUAAAAGAAAAAAAGACAGACACAGGCUGAGAGGUAGGAGAGUGAGACUGGGUUGCCAUGGACAUGGAAGGGUGAGAGUGUUUUAAGGAGGCGGAAGUGGUCAAAAAUGGGAAUCCAGCCAACAAGUCAAUGGCAGAGGGUAUGUAUGACCCAAAUUCAGAAUAUGACCAGGACAUGAGGGCAUCAUGGUCUUAGAUCUGCAAAUGGUAUCCUCUGAAGGACUUAGGGAUAAAAUAAGACUCUCUUAGGGCUACUAAAACAUAAUUCUUAAAAAAAACCCACAUAAUUCUAAAUAUUCUUAAACCACUAACUGCCCAGAGUACUACUGUUCAGGAUGUGUUAAGAGGAAAAUGACUCCAUUCUAGCCUUCAGAUAGAAGAUAAGCAGAAGUGAUGGAAAAAACAGGUGAGCCUCAACAUGACUUCUUAUCCUGACACAUCAGGUUUUCCUCUCCAGUCCUCUUCUUUGCUUCCACCUAUACCUUCUGCUCAGCUUCUAACAAGCUUCCACCUGGCUGUUCCCCUGUCCUGUGCUCACACUGCUUCUCAUUUUCUUCUCUUACGAAAGACAUGAUAACAUCACUUUCUUGCUCAAAAUCCUUCCAGGACUCUCCACUGACUAUGUUUUAGAGUUUAAAUUCCUUGAUCAGGCAUAUUCACCUUUCAAGAUUCAACUCUGACUUUUCUCUUUCAUCUCUCUCUGUACAUCUGCCUCGGCCAUAUCAGAAUAUGAGCUCUAGUCAACCUCUAACUGCAGGCACGUGGAAGACCCUCCAGGGAGCACCACUCAUCAGUGACCAGUCAGAACAAAAAAAACAUAAAACACUGCUGCUAUAAGACAUGAAGUUUUUGGAUGGUAUGCUGCAAAGAUGUAGAUACCCAGGACAGAAAUGGGUAACGGGAGUGGGGGUGUUGCCAUUAAAAACUUGAACCAGAUGAUACUGGCUUUGGAAUGGGCCGUGGCCUCCAGAGUCUCAGGAAGAUUGUUUUUUGGCUCCAUGAGAACAGUGAGAAAAUUAUUGACAGUGAGAAAAUCGUCGUUGGAAGCUGGAGAUAAGACAGGAGAGAUGUGGCGGUAGAAAGUUGGCAAGGCUGCCACCUGCAGUAAUGUGGAAAAUAAAAGAUAUAACUGAUGGAGAGUGAAACUGGCUAAGGAGAUUUCAGGCAGGCUGUUGGAAGUGUCAACUGAAUCCUCUUAGCCAUGGAUGACAAGGGGCAGAUAGAAAUGAACAGGAAGAGGAAACUGUUAGGUUUCAGGUAUAAUUUAGAGAAAAUGAAGAGAAUCCAGGACUUUCUAGUUUCCAAAUCCAACUGCCUGAUGUUCGCACCCUCCCCAGAGAGCAAAUUAUUCACAAAGUAAGUUGACCGAAGACUCUCUCAAGGAUGUGGCUCUAUUUUCAGACUUCAGAAACACUCAAGGGUGUGCCUCCUAGACCUCUCAGCUAGUCAAGCAAUUUCUAAGAAUUUUAACGGUGCCCCAGAGAGUCCUAACUUUAAGCCUGAACCAGACAGGGUCCUGUCUCCAAAAUAUUUGUGAGUGUGGCUUUAGUAAAUUCCACACAAUUCCUAGGAAACCCAUAACGUGCUUAUGAGUUUGAACUGAUGACUGCACCACCAGUCUGUACUAAAAUGGGCAGAGAUGAUUAAAAAAUGGAAAGAAGCCUCUAGACCUUCAAAUUUAUAUGGGCAGGAAGCAGGCAAGGGAAGCUAUUCACUGGCAAAUAGGAACCAUUUCUAGUAGCAAAGAAAAGGGUGAAAAGGUUCUAUUCAGAGCAUAGAACCAUGGAAAGUAAAUCCCCGAAGGCAGGGCUAUGCCCCAAGAUAGAACAGGACACAUAUAUCUGGCUGUAUUUCAGAAUUGCUAUAGACCAGUGACUUCUAUAUGCCUCCCAUUCCCCACUGCUUUUUUUUUUUUUUCUCAUUAAAAGCACUUUAACGUCAGCCUGAAUUUCUAAAAGCAUGUAAAAUCCCCCUGCCUUUUUUGAGCAAGAGUGUCUCCUACAGGUAUCUUGUACACCCCAUUGUAUAUUUGGUGCACAUGUGUAGGGAGCAGAUAGCCUGUCUUUUUAGUUCACAGGUAUUCCUGUUGACAGGAAACUAUUUGAGGAACCCCACCUGAGGAGGGAGCCAGUUGUGCCUGCACUGUAUUUAGAUGACAGGCCUUCCCAUCUGAUCCUCAUAAGCUUUGGGAGCACUGCAAAAGGGUGACAAUAUUUUUGCAUGUGGGAAAGAUGUGAAUUAUUGUGCCUGGGGGGAAGAUGGAAUUUUCCAAAGACAGUCACAAUGAUAUCUCCAUCCCACAAACUCUUCUGCAUUGGGAACUCACCACUGCUUCAGCAAGAGAUGAAGAUGAUUUCUCUCUGCCUGCUUCUACUAAGAAGGUCUUGUGUCAGCUUUGACCAAUAGAAUAUGGCAGAAAUGGGGCCCAACCUACACAGAAGGGCCACAGCCAACAACCCAAACAACUGCAUAAGUUGUCAGCUACAUGAAUGCACCAUCUUGGAUGUCCAGCGCUGACCAACCCCUCCAAUGACUGCAGCCCCAGCCAACAUUGACCAAAACCAUGUGAGGGACUCUGAGUGAGAACUACUCACCGAGCCCAGUCAACUCCCAGAGCCAUAGAAAUAAUAAAAAGUUUUGAAGUGGUUAGGUCUUCAA